UACGAAGGGUGCAAGCGUUAAUCGGAAUUACUGGGCGUAAAGCGUGCGUAGGCGGUUUCUUAAGUCUGCUGUGAAAGCCCCGGGCUCAACCUGGGAAUGGCGGUGGAUACUGAGAAGCUGGAGUACGGUAGAGGAAGGUGGAAUUCCCGGUGUAGCGGUGAAAUGCGUAGAGAUCGGGAGGAACAUCAGUGGCGAAGGCGGCCCCCUGGGCGUAACACUGACGCUCAUGCACGAAAGCGUGGGGAGCAAACAGG
rnacentral:rRNA from 1 species